rnacentral:sRNA from 1 species
GAAAUGUUAUAUAUCGUGAUUUAAAGGCAGCCAACAUCCUACUUGAUUCGAUAUUUAACACUGAAAGUUUGGCUUGUGAAUUUGUGAAGAAAACAACACCUGUUGUUUGCAUAUCUUUAAUGAUUCAUCUCCCAUGGAAGCUGCAGACAUGGAAGACACUAGAAGGAACUGGGCUUCUUUUAUUUUAAGUGUUAGUAGAAACUUGGCUACACUUAAAUAGUGUAUGUACAUUAAUGUAAUAUUUGGAUUUAAUAUAUAGUUUCAUGUAUAAAUGAUGUAUUAAAUAUUAGACUAUUUAAUAUUUGAUAUGAAUUCUAUUUUGUUAGUUUCAA